GAUGAACGCUGGCGGCGUGCCUAAUACAUGCAAGUCGAGCGAACAGACGAGGAGCUUGCUCCUCUGACGUUAGCGGCGGACGGGUGAGUAACACGUGGAUAACCUACCUAUAAGACUGGGAUAACUUCGGGAAACCGGAGCUAAUACCGGAUAAUAUAUUGAACCGCAUGGUUCAAUAGUGAAAGACGGUUUUGCUGUCACUUAUAGAUGGAUCCGCGCCGCAUUAGCUAGUUGGUAAGGUAACGGCUUACCAAGGCAACGAUGCGUAGCCGACCUGGGAGGGUGAUCGGCCACACUGGAACUGAGACACGGUCCAGACUCCUACGGGAGGCAGCAGUAGGGAAUCUUCCGCAAUGGGCGAAAGCCUGACGGAGCAACGCCGCGUGAGUGAUGAAGGUCUUCGGAUCGUAAAACUCUGUUAUUAGGGAAGAACAAAUGUGUAAGUAACUAUGCACGUCUUGACGGUACCUAAUCGGAAAGCCACGGCUAACUACGUG
rnacentral:rRNA from 1 species